rnacentral:tRNA from 1 species
GGGCGAUUAGCUCAGUUGGUAGAGCAGCGCUUUUACACAGCGAAGGUCGGGGGUUCGAAUCCCUCAUCGCCCA